AGAGUUUGAUCCUGGCUCAGAACGAACGCUGGCGGCGUGGCUAAAGCAUGCAAGUCGAACGGACCCCUUGAUGAGUAAUCUGAUUGGGAGUUAGUGGCGAACGGGUGAGGAAUAAAUGGAUAACGUGCCCCGAACUCUGGGAUAGCGGCGGAACUUCGGUUCCUUUGCGAAAGUGCCGGUAAUACCAGAUGAUCCCGUGCGGUCUCAUGAUCGUGCGGGCAAAGUUCAGGCGGUUUGGGAGCGGUCCAUUUCCUAUCAGCUUGUUGGUGGGGUAAAGGCCUACCAAGGCAACGACGGGUAUCGGGUGUGAGAGCACGACCCGACACAUCGGGACUGAGACACUGCCCGGACACCUACGGGUGGCUGCAGCAACGAAUAUUCCGCAAUGGGCGCAAGCCUGACGGAGCGACGCCGCGUGCAGGACGAAGUCUUUCGGGAUGUAAACUGCUGUCAGGGGCUAGAAAUAAAUUGAUCAGCCCCAAAGGAAGCAUCGGCUAACUCCGUGCCAGCAGCCGCGGUAAUACGGAGGAUGCGAGCGUUGUUCGGAAUCACUGGGCUUAAAGCGCAUGUAGGCGGAAUGUAAGGUGUCAUGUGAAAGCCCCCGGCUCAACCGGGGAAUUGCUAGGCAAACCGACAUUCUUGAGGCAAGUAGAGGCGACUGGAACCUUUGGUGGAGAGGU
rnacentral:rRNA from 1 species